rnacentral:rRNA from 1 species
UACGAACUGUGCAAACGUUAUUCGGAUUCACUGGGCUUAAAGGGUGCGUAGGCGGCCAUGUAAGUAGGGUGUGAAAUCCCCCCGGCUUAACCGGGGAACUGCGCCCUAAACUGUGUGGCUGGAGUGAGAUAGGGGUGUGUGGAACUUCCGGUGGAGCGGUGAAAUGUGUUGAUAUCGGAAGGAACGCCGGUGGCGAAAGCGACACACUGGGUCUCAACUGACGCUG